rfam:Perkinsus marinus ATCC 50983 gcontig_1104296674710, whole genome shotgun sequence.
GGUUUAGACCGUCGUGAGACAGGUUAGUUUUACCCUACUGACAAAGUAGAUACUGCGACAGUAGUCGAAGUUAGUACGAGAGGAACACUUCGUCCAGAUACUUGGUUAAUGCCGUUGUCUGAAAAGACAGUACGGCGAAGCUACCAUCUGCUGGAUUACGGCUGAACGCCUCUAAGCCGGAAUCCAUGCUGGAUAAGCAGUGUUGUACACCGUGCUCAAUGCUACAAGAAAAAGGCUAGGUCAGGCUUCGGCCUGACCAAAAUUCAAGCUGCUAUACCUCUGGCUGCAUUGACUUGUGGUCAGAGUGUAUGGUGAUCAUAGCAAUUGCAAGUAUUGGGCUCGAUAAAUCCUUUGAAGACGACUUAAUUGCAUCCGGGUAUUGUAAGUGUUGAGAGUAGGCUUAGUCUUACGAUCCACUGAGAUUCAUCCCGUGUUGCGCCGAUUUGU